rnacentral:rRNA from 1 species
CCUGAACGCUGGCGGCGUGGCUAAGACAUGCAAGUCGAACGGUGUAGCAAUACACAGUGGCGGACGGGUGAGUAAUGUAUCGCUAAUGUACCCUAGAGCUGGGGAUAGCUGCCCGAAAGGGCAGGUAAUACCCGAUGAAAUAAUCCUACCGCAUGGCAGGAUUCUCAAAAGCAGCAAUGCACUCCUGGAGCAGGCGAUAUCGUAUCAGCUAGUUGGUGAGGUAACGGCUCACCAAGGCGAUGACGCGUAGCUGGUCUGAGAGGACGGCCAGCCACAUCGGGACUGAGACACUGCCCGGACUCCGUACGGGGGGCG